UUACUGGGUGUAAAGGGUGCGUAGGCGGCUCUGCAAGUCAGGUGUGAAAACUAUCGGCUCAACCGAUAGACUGCAUUUGAAACUGUGGAGCUUGAGUGAAGUAGAGGCAGAUGGAAUUCCCGGUGUAGCGGUGAAAUGCGUAGAGAUCGGGAGGAACACCAGUGGCGAAGGCGAUCUGUUGGGCUUUAACUGACGCUGAGGCACGAAAGCAUGGGUAGCAAACAGGAUUAGAUACCCCUGGUAGUCCAUGCCGUAAACGAUGAUUACUAGGUGUGGGGGGUCUGACCCCUUCCGUGCCGGAGUUAACACAAUAAGUAAUCCACCUGGGGAGUACGACCGCAAGGUUGAAACUCAAAGGAAUUGACGGGGGCCCGCACAAGCAGUGAAGUAUGUGGUUUAAUUCGAAGCAACGCGAAGAACCUUACCAGGUCUUGACAUCCAACUAAUCCCUUAGAGAUAGGGGAGUGCCCUUCGGGGAAAGUUGAGACAGGUGGUGCAUGGUUGUCGUCAGCUCGUGUCGUGAGAUGUUGGGUUAAGUCCCGCAACGAGCGCAACCCUAGUGAUUAGUUGNUACGCAAGAGCACUCUA
rnacentral:rRNA from 1 species